CUUGGUAUAGUCGGUCGUGCGCUACGCUAGAAAAAUAUCGUUUAGUUGUGUUCAAAGUGAUAUAUCUUCAAGUAGAAUUGAGUUAUUUCAAUUCUGCAAAAUGGACUCUCUUCCUGGAUUGGCGCCUUUGCUUGUGUAGCUCACGUACAGCGCUCUAUACUAAUGCGCACAGUGUCGGUGUGUUGGUUCCGAUCGGCGAGUUGGGGUGAUCGUGCUAACUCUCUAUUGUCGACCGACGGUAGAGCCAUCUUCCGGAUUUGCGAGUCGCGGAAAGUUUUGCUUCAAGCUGACCAUAAGCCGUACGCUUCUAUGUGACUCGAUCUUCGUUGACUAUACUGUGCGAAGUGCACCACAGAAGGGUGCGAAUGACAAGUAGAGGGUCAUUAGAGAAGCCUAAAACCGCCAAAAUCCAACAAAAUUUCCUUGUGUUGGGUCCGCCAUCUUGGAAAACAUGAAAAACAGGCAAUCCUCGAUAUCUCGACUCCUAUUGGUCGGAUUAUCGUUUCUUUUUUUUAGUUUUGUAGGGAAAAAUAUCAUCUACAACUUUUAUUUGAAGUAAUUUUUUAUAGCUGCGAAGGAAAACAUUUUAUGCCAUUAACAAUUUUUGAAAAAUCUCAAGCUAUAAACUUAAUGCAAGCGACACUUAUU